GAACGGUUAGCUCAGUUGGUAAGAGCCUUGGCCCGGAACGCCAGAGGCCGUGGGUUCGAGUCCCGCAUCGUUCA